rnacentral:rRNA from 1 species
UACGGAGGGUGCAAGCGUUAAUCGGAAUUACUGGGCGUAAAGCGUGCGCAGGCGGUUUGUUAAGUCCGUUGUGAAAGCCCCGAGCUCAACUUGGGAAUUGCAGUGGAUACUGGCAGGCUGGAGUACGGUAGAGGAAGGUGGAAUUCCCGGUGUAGCAGUGAAAUGCGUAGAGAUCGGGAGGAACACCAGUGGCGAAGGCGACUCUUUGGCCUGUAACUGACGCUGAGGCGCGAAAGCGUGGGGAGCAAACAGG